AGAGUUUGAUCAUGGCUCAGGACGAACGCUGGCGGCGUGCUUAAUACAUGCAAGUCGAGCGAGGUUACUGUUUCGGAUCCCUUCGGGGUGAAGAAGCUUUAACCUAGCGGCGGACGGGUGAGUAACGCGUGGGUAACCUACCCCAAAGUCCGGGAUAACAGCGGGAAACCGCUGCUAAUACCGGAUGUCUUUACCUUGGGGCAUCUUGAGGUAAAGAAAGGUAACGCUUUGGGAUGGGCCCGCGUCCCAUUAGCUAGUUGGUGAGGUAACGGCUCACCAAGGCGACGAUGGGUAGCCGGCCUGAGAGGGUGGACGGCCACACUGGGACUGAGACACGGCCCAGACUCCUACGGGAGGCAGCAGUAGGGAAUAUUGCGCAAUGGACGGAAGUCUGACGCAGCGACGCCGCGUGAGCGAUGAAGGUCUUCGGAUCGUAAAGCUCUGUCCUUGGGGAAGAAGGCGAAAGCUUGACGGUACCCAAGAAGAAAGCCCCGGCUAACUACGUGCCAGCAGCCGCGGUAAU
rnacentral:rRNA from 1 species